CGGACGGGUGAGUAACGCGUGGAAAACCUGCCGUAUACUGGGGGAUAACACUUAGAAAUAGGUGCUAAUACCGCAUAAGCGCACAGCUUCGCAUGAAGCGGUGUGAAAAACUCUGGUGGUAUACGAUGGUUCCGCGUCUGAUUAGCUAGUCGGUGGGGUAAUGGCCUACCAAGGCAACGAUCAGUAGCCGGCCUGAGAGGGUGAACGGCCACAUUGGGACUGAGACACGGCCCAAACUCCUACGGGAGGCAGCAG
rnacentral:rRNA from 1 species